UGGUAAGGUGGUGACAUCUAUCUGCAUUGUUAACUCAGUGGUAAGGUGGUGACAUCUAUCUGCACUGUUAACUCAGUGGUAAGGUGGUGACAUCUAUCUGCACUGUUAACUCAGUGGUAAGGUGGUGACAUCUAUCUGCAUUGUUAACUCAGUGGUAAGGUGGUGACAUCUAUCUGCAUUGUUAACUCAGUGGUAAGGUGGUGACAUCUAUCUGCAUUGUUAACUCAGUGGUAAGGUGGUGACAUCUAUCUGCAUUGUUAACUCAGUGGUAAGG